CUUCCUGCGCAAAGCCGGAAGACUCGCAUGGGCUUCCGACGGAAGUUACGCGCUGCGGGUUGGCGGAAGGACGCGUGAUAUAGGAGCGGGGAUUCUGAACGGUGGAGCGGGAGGGAUAGGACAACAGCGAUGCCCCGGAUCACGCUGAGGGGUGUCACGGUGGAUUUCCCAUUCCAGCCCUAUGAGUGUCAGGAGAUCUACAUGGCCAAAGUGCUCGAGUGUCUGCAGACGAAAGUAAAUGGCAUCCUAGAGAGCCCUACAGGUACAGGAAAGACCCUUUGCCUGCUCUGUUCCACUCUGGCCUGGAGAGAACACUUCAAAGAUACCAUCUCAGCCCGCAAAAUUGCACAGCGUAUGAAUGGGGUCGAGCUCUUCCCUGACAGACCCAUGUCCUCCUGGGGUAAUGCUGCCACGGAUGGCGAUAUCCCAACGUACUACACAGACAUUCCUAAAAUCAUUUAUGCAUCCAGAACUCACUCUCAGCUUACGCAGGUCAUUAAUGAAUUAAAGAACACGGUCUACAGGCCGAAGAUAUCUGUUUUGGGUUCCAGAGAGCAGCUUUGCAUCAAUCCUGAAGUGAAACGACAGGAGAGCAACCACAUGCAAAUCUAUAUGUGCCGAAAGAAAGUGAUGGCUCGUGCUUGUCAUUUUUAUAACAAUGUGGAAGAAAAGUCUACAGAGAAAGGGCUGAUGGACUCAAUCAUGGAUAUCGAAGACUUGGUUAAAAAUGGAAGCAAGCACAGAGCUUGUCCUUAUUAUCUCUCUCGAAGCCUGAAGCAGCAGGCAGAUAUUAUUUUUAUGCCUUACAACUAUUUAUUGGACGCAAAGAGCCGACGAGCUCACAACAUAGAUCUGAAGGGGACUGUGAUAAUACUUGAUGAAGCUCACAAUGUGGAAAGAUUGUGUGAAGAGUCAUCUUCUUUUGACCUGACGGCCUAUGAUUUGGCUUCAGCAAUUGAUGUUAUAAACUUAGUACUGGAAGAACAAGCCAAAGUAGUUCAACAGAAUGAAGUAAAUGCUGAAUUCAACAUGGAGAGCAUCAGUUCAGGGCUGAACAUGGAACUUGAAGAUAUAGCAAAGAUAAAGAAAAUUCUUCUUCAGCUAGAAAGUGCAAUUGAUGCAGUGGAGCUGCCACCAAAUGACAGUGGAGUCACCAAAGAUGGAAGCUACAUCUUCGAGCUGUUUGCAAAGGCCCAAAUAACGUUCCAAACCAAGACCUCACUCCUGGAGUCACUAGAACAGAUUUUACAGUUUCUUUCAGGCCGCACUGGGAUAUUUAUCAAUACCUCUGGACUGCAUAAACUCUCAGAUAUUAUCCAGACGGUGUUUAAUGUUGAUCCUCCAGAAGGCACAACCAGUUUUGUGCCACCUCAGUCGAUAUCCAGAUAUUAUAAGGUACACAUUCAUCUGGAUAACAGUAAUCAGAAAAAGAAGAAGGAAAGGACAGAUCUCUGGGAUUCGUCAGCUGCAAAAAAACAAGGAAAGACCUUAAGCUAUUGGUGUUUCAGCCCUGGAUAUAGCAUGCAUGAGCUUGUUCGACAGGGAGUCAGAACAAUUAUCCUUACUAGUGGGACUCUCUCCCCUCUCUCAUCGUUUACAAUGGAAAUGCAGAUCCCUUUUCCUGUUCUCUUGGAGAACCCUCAUGUUAUUGAUAAACGGCAGCUCUGGGUUGGAAUCAUUCCCAAAGGACCUGAUGGAGCUGUGCUCAAUUCUACUUAUGAGAGAAGAUUUUCAGAGGACUAUUUAUCUUCCCUGGGGAAAACCAUUGGUAAUCUUGUGCGAGUCGUACCUCAUGGACUGUUGGUAUUUUUCCCAUCAUAUCCUGUCAUGGAUAAGAGCCUGGAGUAUUGGAGAGAGCAUGAUUUUGCUAAAAGAAUAGAAGAAGUGAAACCAAUGUUUGUGGAACCCAGGAAUAAAGGAAGCUUUUCAGAGGUAAUAGAUGCGUACUAUGGUAAAAUUGCCUGUCCUAAGUCAAAUGGAGCUACUUUUUUGGCAGUGUGUCGGGGGAAGGCCAGCGAAGGCUUGGACUUUGCAGACAUGAAUGGACGAGGAGUCAUCAUUACUGGCCUUCCAUUUCCUCCUCGUUGGGAUCCCAGAGUUGUUUUAAAGAUGCAGUUCCUGAAUGAAAUGAAAAAAAGCAGUAUGGGUGCACAGUAUUUAUCUGGGCAUCAGUGGUACAAUCAGCAAGCUUCCCGAGCUGUUAACCAGGCUAUUGGCAGGGUCAUCAGGCAUCGCCAGGACUAUGGUGCUAUCUUCCUAUGUGAUGACAGGUUCACAACUGAUAAUGUAAGAAGCAAGCUGCCUUCCUGGGUCCGCCCUUAUGUGAACGUUUAUGACAACUUUGGGCAUGCAGUCAGAAGUGUCUCAGUCUUCUUCCGCGUUGCUCAAGAAAUUAUGCCCCCGCCUGUGGCACAGUGCAUUUCUGGCUCUGCUGUUACCCUGAGUGAAAAUGAUGUGAAACCUUCUACUUCAUCUGAGCAGAUCCUCUCCCUGCAGAAAGCCAAGAUUUUGGAUGAUCAUGUUCCCAGUUUGAAGAGGAAAAGGAUAGUAAUGCCAGUAAAUGGAGAUGGAGCAUCCAGCCUCUGCACAGAGUACGAACAAGAAAUGAUCUCACCUAGAAGACGAUGUUCUGGGCUUUUGGAUGCAUUGGAGCGCAAUGAGAAGAACAGCAAAGAGGCGGAGGAAGAUGAUGAUUUGUCAGGGGAGGAAAAGGCACAACGUCUGUCAACGCUUUCCCUUCAGUAUGAGAAGAGGUUAACAGAUGAGCAGAAAGGAGGAAGGAAGAAAAUCAAGCUAGUCAGCAAUCCGCUAACCAAUAAGAUAGCAGACCCAACUGAGCCAAAGAAAGCCCGGGCUACCUUAUACAUCGCAACAGUGAAGAAAACCCUAAGCCAACAAAACUAUAAUCUCUUCUCUGAGGCUCUUCAGCGCUACAGGACCACAGCUGACUUCAAUACCAUGUUAUCUCAAAUGAGUUCCCUUUUUACAGAGGAUGAAACAAAGCAUAUCUUGUUGCGAGAAUUUUACCAGUUUGUUCGACCUCACCAUAAAAAAGAGUUUGAUGAAGCAUGUUGCAAUCUGACCGGGGUGGGCUGUGGCUACAAACCUGAGCACAGCCUCCUGCUGGACGAGAGAGAGGGACUGGCAAAGAAAGCAGAAGCAAAAGAGAGUCAGCAGAAAACAACGUUCUCAGAGCACUCACGGGUUCAGCUGAAUCCUGGGCUCCACUUGAACCAGGGAGGGUUUCACUUGACAGCAAGACAGACAAGAGCAGGGGAUAACACCGGUCAAGCUACGAGCAAAGACAUUAAAAAUGUAUCAGGCUCAAGGAGAGAUCACCACCAGGUCCUCAGGACGACCUACCUCAAGGAUGUGAAAAAGGCAUUGAAGGAAAGCGCUUACAGCCGCUUCCAUGAAGCACUGUUGGCUUACAAGAGGACAGAUGACUACGAUGCUAUGAUACCAGUGAUAGCAGCCCUCACUACUGAGAGGCCGGAAGAUUUUCAUCUCCUGCAAAGGUUUAACAUGUUUGUGCGCCCUCAUCACAAAGAGCAGUUCAGGCAGCUGUGUAAAGAUCUGACUGGAACAGUUGGUGGUGAUGAACAGAAACAGCAGCAGGUGCAGAAUGAGAACAGCACUGUGACACUGGAGAGAUGGUUCACUAAGAGAGAAAACAGCCCUAAACAAGAUGGAGAUGCUCCUAAGAGUGAAGUUCCAGAAAAAAAUGAGGGAGAAACUUCCUCCUCGUACCUCAGCCAGAAGUGCAAGCUUGAAUUACCAAAGACUGAAGUAUCUGAAGGAAUUAGUAGUGUGAGAGCACCCACAGCUCCCGGAGUCAUUCCCAGCUUACCACUAGAGUUGGAUCCAGAGUUUGGAGAACCAUUGGAACAAAUUCUUCUGUUUACAGAGAGGAAACCCCAACCCUCAUGUUCAAGUUUACAACUUCAAUGUUUCCUUUGUCAUCUUUAUUUUCCACGUUCUGCAGUGUGACUGAAGACAGAACUCCUCUCAGCUUCCUUCAAAUGCUGCUUUGCAGUGUUUAAAUGCCUUGUUCAUUCAUGCUCUUAUGAAGAAGUGCCCGGAAUGCUGCUGUGAUGUGAAGAAGAAGCGCUUGGUUCGAGCUUAUUUCUGGUAAUGGUCUCACUGCCAGAAAGGACAAGUGCUUCGUGUCAGCAGAAAUAGGCUCCUGUGCUCUGACCCUGAGCUGGGUGGAAGCAGGAGGAGGGUUCCUUCUGAACAUCUUCCAUCAUUGACUCUGGUGCACAUGCUGUCACUUUUUUUCCUGCAAACAGAGUCUGAAGGGUCAGGUGUGCGCUGCUGGCAGAAGACAAAGCAUCGUCCUCUGCUGGGACAGAGGUGGUGAAUCUCUUACUUACUUUAGCCUGUGAGUUUUACAUUGACUUAGACCUGAUUGUGUGUCCUGGAGGAGGCUGUUGUUGCUUUGGCCCUUCAGGUAACAUCCACUCCUGGAGAAACCCUACAACAGUACUAUGUUGGAAUGGAGCUGGCUGUGUUAACAGGCCAGGCACAGCCCUACGAACCCCAUCAGUGUUCUUGGAAGGAACAGUUGGUGUUCUGCUGGUGUUUAUCAAUCAGCAGCUGCUGUCUAAAAUAGCAGAAGAUACUGAAAGCUGGGCUUCUCUUCAAACAAAAUCAAGUGUUUGGACAGUGAGCAGAGAUGCUGCCCAGUGCCUGCUGUGCACCCUGCAGCACAAUGUCUCCCACAGUGCUGGGAUGUUUGGAAACAUGCUUCUAAGGAGGCUUUAUGUUCAGCCUAGCACUGGCAUUCCUGUUGUGUCAGUGUUAUUUGAUGGUUGUCUUCCAAGAAGAAAAUGGACCAAAUUGAUUUCAGUCUUUAACAUAAAUGAAGUGGAAUGGGUAAAAAAAACCAAACCUCCUCAAUGCUUCCACUCUCUGUAAGUAGUGCGAAGAAGGGGUAAACUAAAAUCAGUUUUAAGUCAUCAGUCCCUUCUCUUAACUGAACCAGAAAUAAAAACAUUUUUUAUGCAUUGGU